AUGGUUCAGAGACUCACGUACCGAAGGAGGCAUAGCUAUGCCACCAAAUCCAACCAGCAUCGAGUUGUUAAGACUCCUGGUGGAAAGUUGGUUUAUCAGACGACUAAGAAGAGGGCGAGUGGACCCAAGUGUCCGGUUACUGGAAAGAGGAUCCAAGGGAUUCCACAUUUGAGACCUACUGAAUACAAGAGGUCCAGAUUGUCUCGCAACCGCCGAACAGUUAACAGAGCAUAUGGUGGUGUUUUAUCUGGAGGAGCUGUUAGGGAAAGGAUUAUUCGUGCUUUCCUUGUUGAAGAGCAAAAAAUUGUGAAGAAAGUUUUGAAGAUACAGAAGACAAAAGAAAAGCAAGCAGCUAAGAAUUAA